UCAGGCCUAACACAUGCAAGUCGUACGAGAGUUUUUAACUCUAGUGGCGGACGGGUGAGUAACACGUGAGAAUUUGCCUUUAGGAGGGGGACAACAAUUGGAAACGAAUGCUAAUACCCCAUAUGCUUUAGAGUGAAAUGGAUUUUAUCCGCCUAGAGAGAAGCUCGCGGCUGAUUAGCUUGUUGGUAAGGUAAGAGCUUACCAAGGCGACGAUCAGUAUCUGGUUUGAGAGGACGAUCAGACACACUGGAACUGAGACGCGGUCCAGACUCCUACGGGAGGCAGCAGUGGGGAAUUUUCCGCAAAGGGCGAAAGCCUGACGGAGCAAUACCGCGUGAGGGAAGAAGGCCUAUGGGUUGUAAACCUCUUUUUCAGGGAGGAAAAAAUGA
rnacentral:rRNA from 1 species